rnacentral:rRNA from 1 species
GACGAACGCUGGCGGCGUGCUUAAUACAUGCAAGUCGAGCGAGGUUACUGCGACAGAUCCCUUCGGGGUGAAGUUGCUUUAACCUAGCGGCGGACGGGUGAGUAACGCGUGGGUAACCUACCCUAAAGUUCGGGAUAACAGCGGGUAACCGCUGCUAAUACCGGAUGCCUUUACCGUGUGGCAUCACAGGGUAAAGAAAGGUAACGCUUUAGGAUGGGCCCGCGUCCCAUUAGCUAGUUGGUGAGGUAACAGCUCACCAAGGCGACGAUGGGUAGCCGGCCUGAGAGGGUGGACGGCCACACUGGGACUGAGACACGGCCCAGACUCCUACGGGAGGCAGCAGUAGGGAAUAUUGCGCAAUGGACGGAAGUCUGACGCAGCGACGCCGCGUGAGCGAUGAAGGCCUUCGGGUUGUAAAGCUCUGUCCUUGGGGAAGAAGGUCUUCGGACUUGACGGUACCCAAGAAGAAAGCCCCGGCUAACUACGUGCCAGCAGCCGCGGUAAUACGUAGGGGGCGAGCGUUGUCCGGAAUUACUGGGCGUAAAGGGUGCGUAGGCGGCCCUUUAAGUCAGAUGUGAAAGCCCGCAGCUUAACUGCGGAAUUGCAUUUGAAACUGGAGGGCUUGAGUGUCGGAGAGGGUAGUGGAAUUCCCAGUGUAGCGGUGAAAUGCGUAGAUAUUGGGGAGGAACACCAGUGGCGAAGGCGACUGCCUGGACGAUAACUGACGCUGAGGCACGAAAGCUAGGGGAGCAAACAGG